AUGUCUAAUACUUGUAUUUAUAUGUUGAAAAAAAAUAGGCGAGUCGAGAUGUCCGAUGUAGUGAAGUUGAGAUUUUACUAUGGUCCUGGUACUGUCCAAACAAAUGAGUUGGGAGCAGAUCUGAGUCAAUUUACUCACAUAGAGGUUGCAAUCAGCGCACCACAAACAUGGUCUGUUAGUCAGUUGAAAGAAUGGAUUGCGGCAAGUUUAGGUCUUGAUACUGAAACACACACCGUCGGUGUUCAUGCAUUGUGGACACGGUCAAGUUCAAAAAUUUACUUUUAUUUGAGGCCAAUAGAGGGAGACUCCGAUUGGGUGCGGUGGUUAGAAGGUUGUGAACGAAGGGGAUGCAAUCCUGUUGCUUUAGUGCUUCCCGUCGUGAAGGAGGUCACUGCACAUGAAGGGGAGCGUGGCUACGAAGGACAGAGCAGUCAUGUCGAAGGAGGAAAUGCUUAUGGUUACGACCAAGGACAGAGCAGUCAGGUAGAAGGAGGAAAUGCUUAUGGUUAUGAACCAGGGCAGAGUAGUCAGGUAGAAGGAGCAAAUGCCGAUGGUGAUUACAAUGGCGAGGUGGACGCUGACGAGGUAGAUGGGCACAUGCAGAACCAGAUGGAAGAAGAAGACACCGAUGUUGAAAGGGGUCAUGCCGAUGAUUCUGACGAGUCAGAUGAAGAAGAAAAUGCAGAGGAGGUCCCAAAUCCUGCAUGGUGGAAUCAUGACUUAUCAUCUGCAAUGACCGUGAAUGAUGGACAUGAUUCAGCCUGGCAAUAUCACCAGAACAAUAUUGCGACGGGUGCUAUGUAUCCGAACAAGCAAGCCCUGAAGGAUGCAAUAAUUAAUUAG
rnacentral:rRNA from 1 species